rnacentral:rRNA from 1 species
CAGGCCUAACACAUGCAAGUCGAACGCCCCGCAAGGGGAGUGGCAGACGGGUGAGUCACACGUGGGAACGUACCCUUUGGUUCGGAACAACCCUGGGAAACUAGGGCUAAUACCGGAUACGCGCGAUAGCGGAAAGGUUUACCGCCGAAGGAUCGGCCCGCGUCUGAUUAGCUAGUUGGUGAGGUAACGGCUCACCAAGGCGACGAUCAGUAGCUGGUCUGAGAGGAUGAUCAGCCACAUUGGGACUGAGACACGGCCCAAACUCCUACGGGAGGCAGCAGUGGGGAAUAUUGGACAAUGGGCGCAAGCCUGAUCCAGCCAUGCCGCGUGAGUGAUGACGGCCCUAGGGUUGUAAAGCUCUUUUACCUGGGAAGAUAAUGACGGUACCAGGAGAAUAAGCCCCGGCUAACUUCGUGCCAGCAGCCGCGGUAAU